UAGCCACGUGGUGUAAUGGAAAGCACAACAGACUUCUAAUCUGUUAGUGGAGGUUCAAAUCCUUCCGUGGCUGU
rnacentral:tRNA from 1 species